GGCUCAGUGGUCUAGUAGUAUGAUUCGCGCUUCGGGAUGGUUAAUCCAGUGCUUAAUUAAGCAUUCUGUGCGAGGUCUCGGGUUCAAUUCCCGACUGAGCCC